rnacentral:rRNA from 1 species
GGGCCCGCACAAGCGGUGGAGUAUGUGGUUUAAUUCGAUGCAACGCGAAGAACCUUACCAGGGUUUGACAUCCUGCGAAUCUCUUGGAAACGAGAGAGUGCCUUCGGGAACGCAGUGACAGGUGGUGCAUGGCUGUCGUCAGCUCGUGUCGUGAGAUGUUGGGUUAAGUCCCGCAACGAGCGCAACCCACGUCUUUAGUUGCCAGCAUUUAGUUGGGCACUCUGAAAGAACUGCCAGUGAUAAACCGGAGGAAGGUGUGGAUGACGUCAAGUCAUCAUGCCCCUUACAUCCUGGGCUACACACGUACUACAAUGCUACGGACAAAGGGCAGCAAGUUCGCGAGGACAAG